AUGCCUCACACGAUAUUAAAUUAAUUUUUCCUUGGGGGAGAGUCCACCACAAUAGCUUGCUGUUGGGACCUUCAUGUGUCGCCUUUGCGUUGCACUACUGCAAAUGCCUGGCACACCCCAC